rnacentral:rRNA from 1 species
UACGAGGGGUCCUAGCGUUGUUCGGAAUCAUUGGGCGUAAAGGGUGCGUAGGUUGCUAUUCAAGUCAGUUGUGAAAUCCCCGGGCUCAACCCGGGAAGUGCUUCUGAUACUGUUUAGCUUGAGUACUGGAGAGGAUAGUAGAAUUCCAGGUGUAGUGGUGAAAUACGUAGAUAUCUGGAGGAAUACCGGUGGCGAAGGCGGCCGACUGGGCCGACCCUGACGCUGAGGCGCGAAGGCGUGGGGAGCGAACGGG